ACAUGCAAGUCGAGCGGACAGAUGGGAGCUUGCUCCCUGAUGUUAGCGGCGGACGGGUGAGUAACACGUGGGUAACCUGCCUGUAAGACUGGGAUAACUCCGGGAAACCGGGGCUAAUACCGGAUGGUUGUCUGAACCGCAUGGUUCAGACAUAAAAGGUGGCUUCGGCUACCACUUACAGAUGGACCCGCGGCGCAUUAGCUAGUUGGUGAGGUAACGGCUCACCAAGGCGACGAUGCGUAGCCGACCUGAGAGGGUGAUCGGCCACACUGGGACUGAGACACGGCCCAGACUCCUACGGGAGGCAGCAGUAGGGAAUCUUCCGCAAUGGACGAAAGUCUGACGGAGCAACGCCGCGUGAGUGAUGAAGGUUUUCGGAUCGUAAAGCUCUGUUGUUAGGGAAGAACAAGUGCCGUUCAAAUAGGGCGGCACCUUGACGGUACCUAACCAGAAAGCCACGGCUAACUACGUGCCAGCAGCCGCGGUAAUACGUAGGUGGCAAGCGUUGUCCGGAAUUAUUGGGCGUAAAGGGCUCGCAGGCGGUUUCUUAAGUCUGAUGUGAAAGCCCCCGGCUCAACCGGGGAGGGUCAUUGGAAACUGGGGAACUUGAGUGCAGAAGAGGAGAGUGGAAUUCCACGUGUAGCGGUGAAAUGCGUAGAGAUGUGGAGGAACACCAGUGGCGAAGGCGACUCUCUGGUCUGUAACUGACGCUGAGGAGCGAAAGCGUGGGGAGCGAACAGGAUUAGA
rnacentral:rRNA from 1 species